CUACGGAGGGUGCGAGCGUUAAUCGGAAUUACUGGGCGUAAAGGGUGCGUAGGCGGCUUGAUAAGUCGGAUGUGAAAGCCCCGGGCUUAACCUGGGAAUUGCAUUCGAUACUGUCAGGCUAGAGUAUGGCAGAGGUUGGCGGAAUUCCUGGUGUAGCGGUGAAAUGCGUAGAUAUCAGGAGGAACACCAGUGGCGAAGGCGGCUAACUGGGACAAUACUGACGCUGAGGCACGAAAGCGUGGGGAGCAAACAGUAUUAGAUACCCUAGUAGUCC
rnacentral:rRNA from 1 species